rnacentral:rRNA from 1 species
UACGUAGGGGGCAAGCGUUGUCCGGAUUUAUUGGGCGUAAAGAGCGUGUAGGCGGCCAGACAGGUCCGUUGUGAAACUCGAGGCUCAACCUCGAGACGCCGAUGGAAACCGUCUGGCUAGAGUCCGGAAGAGGAGAGUGGAAUUCCUGGUGUAGCGGUGAAAUGCGCAGAUAUCAGGAAGAACACCCGUGGCUAAGGCGGCUCUCUAGUACGGUACUGACGCUGAGACGCGAAAGCGUGGGGAGCGAACAGGAUUAGAACUACCGUAGGUCAGU